GCGCUCCCUUUUUCGUUCCGUUCGCUGAGAGUAGUGGUCCACCAAGCAGGCGCGAGCAACAUGUGCUGGAGACCUGGCCUGGUAGAGCAAGGCCAGGCGCGGCCCCAGGAUAGAACCAACAGGAAGCACCGGUGCUCUGAUUAUGACCCCACUGUGUCCAUUGCCCCCUGUGACCCUCAUGGAGGAGGCAGCGGUCCAUGGCAGCAAUGUGGAACAACAUGAGCCUGGGAUACCUGGCUCACUGAGAGAAAGGUGACAUGGUGACCUGAAGUAGACUUGGAAAGAGUGGCCACUGCCCUGGUUAACAAGCCACUUGUGAGCCAUUAAUAGGGGAGAGUGGGACUAUUAUGUUGUCCAUGGACAUAGACUUGAGGAUCUUCUAAAGGUGAAGGAGUUUUCAAUGUCAGCACGAAGCAGAAGUUGCCCUGUGAAGUAGCAGAAAGCUCUCCUGUUAAUAUUGCGAACAUUUGCCAAAGUGACAGCAAAAUAUCCCGAGUCUAGGCUGUUGUAUCCACAUUGCUCUGCAAUGACUUCAUGGUCAAGCUUCCCUCUUUCUGUGUGGAGUAAGAAAUACUGCAUGUCCUGCCUCCUUAAGAGAUGCCUAGGGGCUUUAGUAAUUUAUUGUCUCAAAGCUCAUGAGCCAUUUCAUUGGAAAGGAUUGACCAUCUAUGGACCUUGACGUCUUUUUAUGCAGUAACAUACUG